UGCUAGUUGUACGAGCUUACACUCGUAGCAAAUAGCUCCGUAACACGUGGCCAAACUACCCUACAGAGAACGAUAACCUCGGGAAACUGAGGCUAAUAGUUCAUACCCGUCUCAGACUGGAAUGUCGAGACGCGCAAACGCUCCGGCGCUGUAGGACGUGGCUGCGGCCGAUUAGGUAGACGGUGGGGUAACGGCCCACCGUGCCGAUAAUCGGUACGGGUUGUGAGAGCAAGAACCCGGAGACGGAAUCUGAGACAAGAUUCCGGGCCCUACGGGGCGCAGCAGGCGCGAAACCUUUACACUGCACGCAAGUGCGAUAAGGGGACCCCGAGUGCGAGGGCAUACAGUCCUCGCUUUUCACCACCGUAAGGUGGUGGUGGAAUAAGAGCUGGGCAAGACCGGUGCCAGCCGCCGCGGUAAUACCGGCAGCUCGAGUGAUGGCCGAUUUUAUUGGGCCUAAAGCGUCCGUAGCCGGCCACACAAGUCCAUCGGGAAAUCCGCCAGCCUAACUGGCGGGCGUCCGGUGGGUACUGUGUGGCUUGGGACCGGAAGACCCAACAGGUACG
rnacentral:rRNA from 1 species